AGUUGCUACUAAAGGGCACUCAUAUUGAAACUGGCCAGGUGACAAACCGNAGGAAGGUGGGGAUGACAUCAGGUCAUCAUGGCCCUUAUGGGUANGGCUACACACGUCAUACAAUGGCCGGGACAGAGGGCUGCCAACCCGCGAGGGGGAGCUAAUCCCAUAAACCCGGUCAUAGAUCCGGAUCGUAUUCUGCAACUCAACGUGCGUGAAGUCGGAAUCGCUACUAAUCGCGGAUCAGCUUGCCGCUGUGAAUACGUUCCCGGGUCUUGUACACACCACCCGUCACACCAUGGGACCGGGUUCUGCCAGAAAGUAGUUANCCUAGCCGCAAGGAGGGCGAUU
rnacentral:rRNA from 1 species